GACCUAAUGGCAAAACGGUAUCGCGUCCGCACUUCAUGGAAUGCGAUUAACCAGGUUCCGCGGAAGUCCCUGGUUCGACUCCAGGUUAGGUCA